rnacentral:rRNA from 1 species
CUUUCUCCGCCGGCGACCGGCGUACGGGUGAGUAACGCGUAUCCAACCUGCCCUUUACUAUGGGACAGCCCGUCGAAAGGCGGAUUAAUACCGUAUGUUGUCAUGUUGAUGCAUAUUUUCAUGACCAAAGGCUUCGGCCGGUAAAGGAUGGGGAUGCGUCUGAUUAGCUUGCCGGCGGGGUAACGGCCCACCGGGGCGACGAUCAGUAGGGGUUCUGAGAGGAAGGUCCCCCACAUUGGAACUGAGACACGGUCCAAACUCCUACGGAAGGCAGCAG